rnacentral:rRNA from 1 species
UACGAAGGGGGCUAGCGUUGCUCGGAAUUACUGGGCGUAAAGCGCACGUAGGCGGCUUUCUAAGUCGGGGGUGAAAUCCUGGAGCUCAACUCCAGAACUGCCUUUGAUACUGGAGAGCUUGAGUCCGGGAGAGGUGAGUGGAACUCCGAGUGUAGAGGUGAAAUUCGUAGAUAUUCGGAAGAACACCAGUGGCGAAGGCGGCUCACUGGCCCGGUACUGACGCUGAGGUGCGAAAGCGUGGGGAGCAAACAGG